rnacentral:rRNA from 1 species
CCUACGGGUGGCAGCAGUGAGGAAUAUUGGUCAAUGGACGAGAGUCUGAACCAGCCAAGUAGCGUGAAGGAUGACUGCCCUAUGGGUUGUAAACUUCUUUUAUAGGGGAAUAAAAUGUUCCACGUGUGGGAUUUUGUAUGUACCAUAUGAAUAAGGAUCGGCUAACUCCGUGCCAGCAGCCGCGGUAAUACGGAGGAUCCGAGCGUUAUGCGGAUUUAUUGGGGUUAAGGGGAGCGUAGUUGGAUUGGUAAGUCAGUUGUGACAGUUUGCGGCUCAACCGUAAAAUUGCAGUUGAAACUGGCAGUCUUGAGUACAGUAGCGUUGGGCGGACUUCGUGUUGUAGCGG